GACGAACGCUGGCGGCGUGCUUAACACAUGCAAGUCGAACGGAAAGGCCCUUCGGGGUACUCGAGUGGCGAACGGGUGAGUAACACGUGGGUGAUCUGCCCUGCACUUUGGGAUAAGCCUGGGAAACUGGGUCUAAUACCGAAUAGGACCACGCGCUUCAUGGUGUGUGGUGGAAAGCUUUUGCGGUGUGGGAUGGGCCCGCGGCCUAUCAGCUUGUUGGUGGGGUAAUGGCCUACCAAGGCGACGACGGGUAGCCGGCCUGAGAGGGUGACCGGCCACACUGGGACUGAGAUACGGCCCAGACUCCUACGGGAGGCAAGAGUGGGGAAUAUUGCACAAUGGGCGCAAGCCUGAUGCAGCGACGCCGCGUGAGGGAGGACGGCCUUCGGGUUGUAAACCUCUUUCAAUAGGGACGAAGCGCAAGUGACGGUACCUAUAGAAGAAGCACCGGCCAACUACGU
rnacentral:rRNA from 1 species